ACCCGUGUGUUUAGUCUAGCUGGCGAUAUUCUGCAUUGUUCAGCUCUUUCUGUGGUCUAAGAAACUGUAUUUACAGGAAUAUGUAUCUGUAAGAAGUGACUGUGUUAGAAGAGACUGUUUCGGGAAGCGGUGCAGUUUGUGUCGUCGUUGAAAAGAGUCGCAUUGUUAUCGUUUCCUCCAAAAAAUGCAGCUGCUUGUCCUUCAUGUGCUAAAAUGCGCUAGCAAGAGCUGCUGUUGACGGUAUCACAGUGUUACCUACUCAGAUGCCUUCUGCUCCCCGAUACGUCCAAAUAUGAUGAUGCCAACCCGGCCCCAGCGGAUCAGUGACAGUGAAUCCAAGACAGUGAAGCC